ACGAGGACGAAGCUGCACUCGGGAAACACAAAUUACAGUGGGUGGCUGAGCCUCGCAAGUUCUGCAAACACGAAGCAUUUUUCCCUUUUUUUUCUACAAUUUUUUUUUUUUACUGUGGUAAAACAUACAUAACAGAGAAGUCGCUGUUUCUGCCAUGUUGAAGUGUGCAGUGUCAUGACAUUAAGCACGUUCACCCUGUGGGAACCCCAAAUUGAAACUGUCCUUUGGAAAACGAACCUCCUGCCAGCACAUCCUGGCCAGGUGGCUGGGGGAGAGGAAAGGGUUGUGACAUCACAAUAGGCCAGCGGGGUCAUGAGGAAAAGGAAAUAGGAAGUGACAGGAAGGAAGAGCAUCGAGGAAACUGCUUCCCAGGAACCCAGAGGCCCACACCAGCUCCCACUGCCACCACCAAGGUUAUGUUAUGCUCACCAGCCUCAGACUCUGUGUCUACAAAACAGGAAUGCAGAGGAGAGCUGCUAAUGAAGAGCCAUACCAAAGAGAAAGGAGAGAGAGAGGCUGUGCCUGCCAAGCAGGUGACUGAGGACAGGGAGAUCCGGAAUGCCUGGGGAUGGCAGGAAGGAGGGUCCCCAGCUCCAGUGGGGCUCCAGCGGCAAGAAUCAUGCCAGCCACUCCAGAGACGCUCCCUCCUGGAACCCCCACAACUUCAGAGGAAUAAUCAACAUUAUCCUCAUUUUACAGAGGAGAAAACGGAGACUCCAAGAAGUUGAGUAAUUCGUCAGCAUGCAAAUUUUAUGCCUUUCUUGUUCAAUUUAUUCCUGGUUAUUUGAUGCUAAUGCAAAUUGGGAAUUGUUCUCAUAUUUUCAUUUUCAGAGUGCUUGAUAAUGGGCAGAAGUACAAUCAGUUUUUGUGUAUUGAUCUUGUCUCCUGCAACCUUGCUAAACUCAUUUGACAUCUACUAAAGGGUAGAGUAGGAUUUGAACCUGGGUCGCCACUGUAAUCCACUGGACUACACCCUCCGCCCCAGACCCUGGGCCAGCUGGAUCAGCACAGGGGACA
rnacentral:lncRNA from 1 species